rnacentral:rRNA from 1 species
UACGGGGGGGGCAAGCGUUGUUCGGAAUUACUGGGCGUAAAGGGCUCGUAGGUGGCCAACUAAGUCAGACGUGAAAUCCCCAGGCUUAACCUGGGAACUGCGUCUGAUACUGGAUGGCUUGAAUUCGGGAGAGGGAUGCAGAAUUCCAGGUGUAGCGGUGAAAUGCGUAGAUAUCUGGAGGAAUACCGGUGGCGAAGGCGGCAUCCUGGACCGACAUUGACGCUGAGGCGCGAAAGCUAGGGGAGCAAACGGG